rnacentral:rRNA from 1 species
AAUGAACGCUGGCGGCGCGCCUAAUACAUGCAAGUCGAGCGAGAAGACGUAGCAAUACGUUUGUAAAGCGGCGAACGGGUGAGGAAUACAUGGGUAACCUACCCUCGAGUGGGGAUAACUAGCCGAAAGGUUAGCUAAUACCGCGUACGCUUCUUGGACUUCGGUUCAGGGAGGAAAGCGAUGCCGAGGGUAUCGCGCUCUUGGAUGGGCUCAUGUCCUAUCAGCUUGUUGGNGAGGUAACGGCUCACCAAGGCUUCGACGGGUAGCUGGUCUGAGAGGACGAUCAGCCACACUGGCACUGCGACACGGGCCAGACUCCUACGGGAGGCAGCAGUAAGGAAUAUUGCGCAAUGGGCGAAAGCCUGACGCAGCGACGCCGC